UAAGCACUUGAAUUCUAUACUCAAAUGGUCUAGGUCUACCUCUAAAACUCCUCAAUCAGAUGGAAAUUUUCUUCAAUUCGAAGAAGGUUACUUAGUUGAGACUGUUGUAGAAGGAAAUGAACUUGGUGUUGUGCCAUAUAAAAUCCGUGUCUCAGAGGAUGGUGAACUUUUUGCUGUUGAUGCUAUUAAUAGCAAAAUCGUUAGAAUUACUCCCCCGUUAUCUCAAUAUAGUAGAGCAAGAUUAGUUGCUGGUUCAUUUCAAGGUCACACUGGCCAUGUGGACGGGAAGCCAAGUGAUGCCCGUUUCAAAAAUCCAAAAGGAGCUACCAUGGACGACAAAGGAAACAUUUAUGUUGCUGAUACCUCAAAUCUGGCUAUUAGGAAGAUUGGAGAAGCAGGUGUGACAACAAUUGCUGGAGGAAAGUCUAAUGUUCCGGGAUACAGGGAUGGGCCAAGUGAAGAUGCACAAUUUUCAAGCGACUUCGAUGUUAUAUAUGUCCGUCCAACUUGUUCAUUACUCGUUGUUGAUCGAGGAAAUGCUGCUCUUCGGCAAAUUUCUCUCAGUCAGGAGGACUGUGACUACCAAUACAGCUCAGUGUCAACCAUAGAUGUUCUCAUGGUUAUUGGUGCUAUUAUAAUAGGA
rnacentral:misc_RNA from 1 species